rnacentral:rRNA from 1 species
GUUGGGUAGGGGAGCGUUCUGUAAGCCUGUGAAGGUGGCCUGUGAGGGUUGCUGGAGGUAUCAGAAGUGCGAAUGCUGACAUAAGUAACGAUAAAGCGGGUGAAAAGCCCGCUCGCCGGAAGACCAAGGGUUCCUGUCCAACGUUAAUCGGGGCAGGGUGAGUCGACCCCUAAGGCGAGGCCGAAAGGCGUAGUCGAUGGGAAACGGGUUAAUAUUCCCGUACUUGGUGUUACUGCGAAGGGGGGACGGAGAAGGCUAUGUUGGCCGGGCGACGGUUGUCCCGGUUUAAGCGUGUAGGUGUGUGUUCCAGGUAAAUCCGGUUCACUUUAACACUGAGGCGUGAUGACGAGGCACUACGGUGCUGAAGCAACAAAUGCCCUGCUUCCAGGAAAAGCCUCUAAGCAUCAGGUAACAUCAAAUCGUACCCCAAACCGACACAGGUGGUCAGGUAGAGAAUACCAAGGCGCUUGAGAGAACUCGGGUGAAGGAACUA